GUGAGAGAAGGAGGGGGAUCUUAUAAAAGCAUCAGAUCUUGUAAGAACUCACUAUCACAAGAACAGCAUGGGAGAAACCACUCACCUCCCUCCCUCAGCACGUGGUGAUUAAAACUUGAGAUAAGAUUUGGGUGGAGAUCAGACUUUAGGAUCCACCCCAAUUGCGGCAGUGAUUGGUGACAGUGAAGCUGGAAGCCAGGUCUGGCUCCCGCUCCUGUACCCCUCCCAUUCUGCCACAUGGGAAAUUCUGCCCCACUGCAAGCGUUGCUGUUCUCAGCAACAUGAGUUGAUUGGAGGACUUGUCACAGCAGGGUGCCAUCAUCAUCAUUGCUAAGUAACCAUGACAAGCAAGAGUCACUCCUGCAUAUGACUCAAUAAUGCCUCACAGAUCACAAAGCCCCUUCCCACCCACUGUUUCCUCUGAGCUCACACCACCCUGUAUGAGAUGGGCAGGAGAAUUUCUUUCCUGCCACUCUGCCUAUGGGGACACAGAGAACUUGAAAUGUCAAAUGACUUCUCCAGGGCUCCACAGCUAGGAAGAGGCAGAACCAGGAAGGAAUUGGAGCUCAUGUCUGUAUCUACAUCAUGACUGGCCCAAGACUCCAGCACCCUCAACCACCAAGCUCUCUACCUGGUAUUGGCAAGACAGCCUGCUGCUGGAGAAAUUUCAGAGGUGUCCUCUUGCCUGGGGUCCUCCUUCAGAUGGCCAAGUCAGAAGGACACAGCCCCCCUGCCGGGAAAUCCAGGCCAGGGUUGGAGAGAGGAUUCGUGCAGAUUGGUCUGGAUGGCUGUACAAAUGGACAGGUGAACACCUCACUGGCAACGUGAAAUGGAGCUACAGGAAGCUCAGUGGACAAGAAAACAAAGUACCGAUGGAGAAGUCAGAGUCCACCCAUUCUACCCUUAGUCUCCCAAUGUGUUGCGAUUAUAGGCAUGAGCCAC
ensembl:lncRNA